rnacentral:misc_RNA from 1 species
CAUCUUCGACUUGAUCUCAUUGAUAUAGGCGAUGGCAUCACCAAGGAGUGAUGCCUUAUCCAUCUUUGACACAUUUGGGACCACUGCUCGGAGGGCGUAGAACCGCUGAUUCAGCUUCUCCCGCCGUUGCCUCUCCGCCUCAACAUGGUUGAGCGGCUCCUCCCGGCCAUUGGCCGGCUUUCGCCCGCGCUUCCUCGGGCGCGGCUUCUCCGGCUCCACCACCCUACUGCUCUCCACCUCCCGCACCGACGCAUCAAGAUCCGAAUGCUCCGAGUCGAUGCCGCCGCCUCCAGCGGCACUAAUAAUCCCACCGCCAGACAUCACCUGACUAACCGAUGCUUGACGGGCCGGAGCAGAAGAGAAUGAGAGCAUCCCUUCGUCAUUGUUCGGCCUCGAAG